GUGAUUUUGACGAAGCCAGUUUUUCAGCAAAGGUAUUUUAACCAGCUCACCAGCAUGCUAAGUCCUCCUCGUCUCAUUCUUCACUUGACUUCCUCCAGUGUUUUGGGUUACAAUGCCAGAAUAGCACUAAUCAAUAGCCCAGAAAAUUGUAGUAUUACAUGUCACUAUAAUGACUCGAAUACUAGUGUUUGUGUUAGCUUCUUAUUCGGCGGAGAUGAUGCCUACUGAUUGGAAAAGAAGGGCACUUGCAACAAAGCUCCUCUGAAAUUAUCCUCCCAGUGUGUGCACGCAGCAGCUGGCAACCUUCUGAUAACAAGCAAGUCAAUCUUCACUUUCUCAUUGUCUUCGUUGAGAUGACGGGUGGGUCUCUCCCUUGCCCUGAGUAUUUGGCAGAGGAGCUUUCCUGCAUUUGGCUGUAGGAAAGGGGGAGUUAGAAAUGGUUCUCCUGUCUUGGGAAACAUAGACUGAGGGAUCUUCAUUCCAACCUAUUUAUUCAGUGGGAUGGAAAAUAUGAAAUAUGAUUACAUGGAAAUUGCAAUGAAAUGUGAAUACGUGUGAUGUACACAAUUAUUGUGUUGACAGUGGCUUCUGUCAUUUGCCUGGCAGAUCUUGCAGAUUCACUGGGGUUUGUGCUAGAGUUUUAUUUCUGAGCAGCAUCUCCUUGUCUCCUUCUCUUCUGGACUACUGUAUUCCCUGGCUUCCAGAUCUCUCAUAUCCCCAAAGAUGUCAUAGGAGACAUUCCAAAGCUCACAGAGCUUAGAUAACAAACAUGUACUGCAUGCACUGCACCGGGCAUGAGUGUGUGAAGCCAACUUGAUCUAUCUGGAUGCAUCCUUGUAUCUUCUCCUACACCUCCAAAGCUCUCCCAUCACGACACUCUCACAGACGUAUGAACUACAGGGAGAAGAUAUCCAUAGAUUAAGUGCCUCAUGCAAAUAAAAAAGGUAUUAAAACAGCAGUGGAGCAGCAGAUGCUAUACCUUGCAUAUUGCUAAAGAUGCUACCUAUGCAGUUCCUAAAAACACGAGCCCUUCUAAUGAGAAGAAGCAGAAAAACUCCCAAUGACUUCAGUUGGGUAUAGAUUUCAGGUGGCAGAUAGAGUGGUGGUACUUUCUGAGGAAUGGUUUACAGUAGCUUUGACUUCUCUUUUGUACUUUAUAAAAUAUAUUCCAUACAUAAAAGUGUCUGCUUUGCAUUAAAAGCAAGUUUUCUUUUUUAAGUAAGUUGAAUAA